rnacentral:misc_RNA from 1 species
UUUUUCAAAUCCCUUUGCCAAUACUAUGUGUUUUGGAUGUUUUAGCAUUGUUAAAAAGGUUUUUCCUUAAUGCACUUAGGCUGCGAGUAUGCUGCAAGUAUAAAACCAUAUGUGAUACAUAUUAAAUAUUGAUAGUAUUUUUAGUCUGUUACUCAAGAAUGAUGAGAAUAAGUUGACCUUGUGUAAGAUGAAAGAUGUGGCCCGUCCAUGUAAUUAGAGGGACUUACGUUCCUUCAUUGAAAUUCUCCAAAUAGACUAAAAAUUUUGCCACAUAUCCAUGAAACUUCCUGAGAGGUAUCACAUUUAUGACUUAUUCAGUUUGGUCAUUUGUUCUUAAUUUCUUCUAUUGCUGAUUUAAUCGAUUCUCUUUUCCUUUAUUAUUAUGCUAUAUCCUUGGUUUAGGCCCUCUUUUUCUUACUAGUUAAAGCUAGAACCUUCUCAAGUAUCAUAUUUAUUACUUGAUGAUUUUUCCCUUUUAAAAAAUUCUUCAGGUUGCUUAAGAGGUUGGAUUUUCCAGACAUGAAGUUUAGCUUGUAC